rnacentral:rRNA from 1 species
UACGUAGGGGGCAAGCGUUGUCCGGAAUCAUUGGGCGUAAAGCGCGUGUAGGCGGCUUGAUAAGUCUGCUCUGAAAGCCCGGGGCUCAACCCUGGGAGGCGGGUGGAUACUGUCAAGCUCGAGUCCGGAAGAGGCGAGUGGAAUUCCUGGUGUAGCGGUGAAAUGCGUAGAUAUCGGAAGGAACGCCGGUGGCGAAAGCGACGUGCUGGACCUCUACUGACGCUGAGGCGCGAAAGCCAGGGGAGCAAACGGG